rnacentral:rRNA from 1 species
CAGAGUUUGAUCAUGGCUCAGGACGAACGCUGGCGGCGUGCUUAAUACAUGCAAGUCGAGCGAGAACCAGGGCUUCGGCCCUGGGGACAGCGGCGAACGGGUGAGUAACACGUGGGUAAUCAACCCCCGACACCGGGAUAGCCCAGGGAAACUAGGGCUAAUACCGGAUACGCCCUUUUGGGGAAAGGUUUACUGCCGGAAGAUCGGCCCGCGUCUGAUUAGCUAGUUGGUGGGGUAACGGCCUACCAAGGCGACGAUCAGUAGCUGGUCUGAGAGGAUGAUCAGCCACACUGGGACUGAGACACGGCCCAGACUCCUACGGGAGGCAGCAGUGGGGAAUAUUGGACAAUGGGCGCAAGCCUGAUCCAGCCAUGCCGCGUGAGUGAUGAAGGCCUUAGGGUUGUAAAGCUCUUUUAUCCGGGACGAUAAUGACGGUACCGGAGGAAUAAGCCCCGGCUAACUUCGUGCCAGCAGCCGCGGUAAU